CAAGUCGAACGAUGGAGCCCUUCGGGGUGGAUUAGUGGCGAACGGGUGAGUAACACGUGGGCAAUCUGCCCUUCACUUCGGGACAAGCCCUGGAAACGGGGUCUAAUACCGGAUAAUACCUCUCUCCUCAUGGGGGGAGGUUGAAAGCUCCGGCGGUGAAGGAUGAGCCCGCGGCCUAUCAGCUAGUUGGUGGGGUAAUGGCCUACCAAGGCGACGACGGGUAGCCGGCCUGAGAGGGCGACCGGCCACACUGGGACUGAGACACGGCCCAGACUCCUACGGGAGGCAGCAGUGGGGAAUAUUGCACAAUGGGCGAAAGCCUGAUGCAGCGACGCCGCGUGAGGGAUGACGGCCUUCGGGUUGUAAACCUCUUUCAGCAGGGAAGAAGCGCAAGUGACGGUACCUGCAGAAGAAGCACCGGCUAACUACGUGCCAGCAGCCGCGGUAAUACGUAGGGUGCGAGCGUUGUCCGGAAUUAUUGGGCGUAAAGAGCUCGUAGGCGGCUUGUCACGUCGGUUGUGAAAGCCCGGGGCUUAACCCCGGGUCUGCAGUCGAUACGGGCAGGCUAGAGUGUGGUAGGGGAGAUCGGAAUUCCUGGUGUAGCGGUGAAAUGCGCAGAUAUCAGGAGGAACACCGGUGGCGAAGGCGGAUCUCUGGGCCAUUACUGACGCUGAGGAGCGAAAGCGUGGGGAGCGAACAGGAUUAGAUACCCUGGUAGUCCACGCCGUAAACGUUGGGAACUAGGUGUUGGCGACAUUCCACGUCGUCGGUGCCGCAGCUAACGCAUUAAGUUCCCCGCCUGG
rnacentral:rRNA from 1 species